rnacentral:rRNA from 1 species
UACCAGCACCCCGAGUGGUCGGGACGGUUUAUUGGGCCUGAAAGCUCCGUCGCCGGUUCUACAAGUCUUCCGUUAAAUCCACCUGCUUAACAGAUGGGCUGCGGAAGAUACUAUAGAGCUAGGAGGCGGGAGAGGCAAGCGGUACUCGAUGGGUAGGGGUAAAAUCCGUUGAUCCAUUGAAGACCACCAGUGGCGAAGGCGGCUUGCCAGAACGCGCUCGACGGUGAGGGAUGAAAGCUGGGGGAGCAAACCGG